rnacentral:rRNA from 1 species
AAACUUUCAACAACGGAUCUCUUGGUUCUCGCAUCGAUGAAGAACGCAGCGAAAUGCGAUACGUAAUGUGAAUCANCGAAUUUUUGAACGCACAUUGCCCCCUUGGUAUUCCAGGGGGCAUGCCUGUUUGAGCGUCAUUU